UAGUAGUGUUAAGCGAGAUUUCCGUGA
rnacentral:piRNA from 1 species